rnacentral:rRNA from 1 species
AUGGAGAUUGACUGCUUGGAGCUAGUUGAUCUAUGGCAUUCGCGCGGCAACACCAGAUCAGUUGCAGCGCCUAUCUUAAAUGAACUGGAGGAAAUUGGUGCUUCGUUUGCUUCUUUAUCUGUCACGCAUGUCAGCAGGGAGGCCAACGUACCGGCGCAUCAGUGUGCUCGCCUAGCUAGUACACUCGAUGGAACUGAGAGUUGGCUUGAUGUAAGCCCUGUUUUUUUAGCCUCUUGCCUACGGGCGGAUUGUAAAACUAUGAUUCUAAGUCAAAAAAAAAGAAAAAAAAAGAACAGGCCGUGGUGGGUCGGCAUCCCGGCCUCGGUCCCCAUCGAUGAGGGCCACAUGCACAACUUGUUGAUAUCCUCAUUUGUUUUCUUUCGCUGCUGCUACACAUCGCCCCGCAUCUGCAUGUCUUUUUUUUAA